CUCAAAAGAGCCCCCAAAAUAUUGCACAAAAAAAGAUUAAUUAUUGCAUUUUUGUUCUAUUUUGUCAAUGAUAUACACUAUAUUAAUGUGAAAACAUAGUAAUUAAAAGUCCAUCUAGAAAAUAGAUGUAUGUCAUCAAGUUAGACACACUUUAUACUUGCAAGUGUCUACAACACCUUAUAACAACUUUUUAUUACAAAUCUAAUAUUUAAACUUACCUUGUUGGUACCUAUUUUAGCGC